rnacentral:sRNA from 1 species
GCUGGGCAUGGUGGCGCACGCCUGUAGUCCCAGCUAUUCGGGAGGCUGAGGCAGGAGAAUCACUUGAACCCGGGAGGCAGAGGUUGCAGUGAGCCAAGAUUGUGCCACUGCACUCCAUCCUGGGUGACAGAGUGAGACUCUGUCUCAA